GAACAAUUGAAGGUCUUUCCACCAGUUAAUAUCUAUUUUGAUAUUAAAAUAUAUAAAAUCAGUCUAAAAUGUCAGUUCAUAUGGCUUUAUGAUGUAUAGAUAUGAAUUUAAAGCAAAGGUCAAAAUCUAGAACGUCAAAUUAACCUAUGACCUUGACCUCAAUUUCAAGGUCACAAACUGAGGAUUUCAAAUCAAAAGACCCUAGUCUCUAAUAUGUAUGGUUAAUAAGUUAUAUCACUUUAAACAUAAUUUAAGAUAUGAUAGGGGCUAAAACUCCCAUUCAUUGUUUACGCACCCUUUCAACUAAAAUUAUUUAGUUACAACAUAUCGCAACUAACAAUUUAUACAAAAUAAUUUGUCGAUAUCUUAUAAGGUUAAUGAAAAUGAGUGAAAAUAAGACAAAUUCAAAAAUUAGAAUAUGACCUUGACCUUUGACCUUGACCUAAUUUUCAUUUUUUUGGACCAAGGACCUCAAAUCAAAAGAUCCUAGGUCUCUAUCACUUAUGGUGUUCCAGUUUAAAAUACAUUUUAAAAUUUCAAAUACAAAAAGGGAAAUAACUCUCAUAUGGAGCGUUCAUAUUGCUUCGGUCGAAAUUGGACAAAUCAUGCGAAGGAUAUAACGAGCAAUUUUAUAAAAUAAAUUUGUCGUAAUCUUUUACGGUUGCGAAGGAGAUGUGAGCACAAAGAAAACAGUGUUUGGGGAGAUAACUCCUACAAAGAAAAGUAUUCGGUUACGCAGGGUAAAUUUCAAAAGCGCAUAAACUGUUCGAUAUCAUAUACCAAAUAUCGAAGCGACAUAUUGCGAAACAAAUGUUUAUCGCAAGAACAAAAUUU
rnacentral:lncRNA from 1 species